rnacentral:rRNA from 1 species
GGGUGAGUAACACGUGGAUAACCUACCUAUAAGAUUGGGAUAACUUCGGGAAACCGGAGCUAAUACCGGAUAAUAUAUUGAACCGCAUGGUUCAAUAGUGAAAGACGGUUUUGCUGUCACUUAUAGAUGGAUCCGCGCCGCAUUAGCUAGUUGGUAAGGUAACAGCUUACCAAGGCAACGAUGCGUAGCCGACCUGAGAGGGUGAUCGGCCACACUGGAACUGAGACACGGUCCAG